rnacentral:lncRNA from 1 species
CUGGUGUCCUGAGACAUCUGCAUUUACUGACCCGCUGCGAGCCCAACGUGUGCGAUGGCUGACUCGCUGUUCCUGUCUGUCUCUCCUGGCAGCUGAGUGACUGCUACAAGGGAGUGGUGUUUGAUGGCCUGGAGACCCUCUUUGCGAGCAGCCUGGCAUCUUCUCUCCUGUGCAUGCUCAAAGCUGUCAGCAAUCGCCCUCAUAUCCACGUUGUGAACAUCUUCCAGGAUUCUGAGUUUUGGAAAGGCAGGCAGAUAGCUGCAAGAGAGAAGAGGGCAGCUAAAAAAGAGCAGAAAGCACGGGAGAAGGAAGAAGCUGCCCGGAGAGAGGAAGAACGUCUCUGGGAUGUGGAUGUGGACGAGUACGAAGCCCUCUCUGAGAAGCAGACAGCUCUGCUUGAUUACAAAAUAGAACAAAUCAAGCGUGAGCGGAGGGAGAGAAGGGAGCUGGAGUGGCUGGCUCGAGAGCAUAAGGAAAGCAAAAAGGCGUCAUCACGAGCCUCAGAGAAGCAAGAUGGGCAGCAAGAAACCAAAAUCCCAGAGGUGCCAAGUAAGCGGGACAGGAUCUUGGACCUGAGGUUUGACAUCUGUGAGUCUUCUCAGAAGAAGAUCAAACAUAUUCUGUCAUCCUGGGACAGGGUUCAGGGUAUCAUGAACCAAGUGCCAGACAAGUCCCACUCUUCCCCUAAACACAAAGAUGAGAAGAAGAGCAGUAAGUCUCCGGAGAAGCCAGAGGAGAAGCCUCUGAAAAAACAUGGCAGCCACAAGAGUCUUCAGCGGGAAGGGGAAGUUGCAGAAGGCUCAGUCGGAAGCCAGGAUGCCGGAGUGCCCUGCUUGGACUUCCACGUCACGCACCAUGAAAAGGUGUUUAGGAGGAUCCUGAAGAGCAAGAAGCUGCCACCAGCAAAGCAGAUCCUGCACUCUCUGGGACUGGGACCUCCCAUUCCCCCUGGCUCUCUUUUCUCCGUGGUCCCCUACCCAGAGGAGGACAGAGUCCCCACAGCAUCACAAGACCUCAGACACUUCAUCCUUGUUGAACCUGAGGGUGCUGCUGCAGAAGAUGAUGUGGUGGGUACUCCUUUUGUGCCUUCAGUGAGGGUGCCAGGGCAGGGGACAGGUUGGAUGGAAAAGGGUCACCAUGGA